rnacentral:piRNA from 1 species
UAAGAAUUUGGUGGAUUAGGUUUCUGGU